rnacentral:rRNA from 1 species
AGAGUUUGAUCMUGGCUCAGAACGAACGCUGGCGGCGUGCUUAACACAUGCAAGUCGAACGGGGUUAUAUAGUGUAGCAAUACAUUGUAUAACUUAGUGGCGGACGGGUGAGUAACACGUAGGUAACCAACCCUAAAGCGGGGGACAACCCAGGGAAACUUGGGCUAAUACCGCAUAAGACCACGGACUGGGAGGUCUGUGGUAAAAGCAGCAAUGCACUUUAGGAUGGGCCUGCGGCCUAUCAGGUAGUUGGCGGGGUAAAGCCCACCAAGCCUAAGACGGGUAGCCGGACUGAGAGGUUGAACGGCCACACUGGAACUGAGAUACGGUCCAGACUCCUACGGGAGGCAGCAGUGGGGAAUUUUGCGCAAUGGGCGAAAGCCUGACGSAGCRACGCCGCGUGGAGUGAUGAAGGUCUUCGGAUCGUAAAACUCUGUUAUUAGGGAAGAACAAAUGYGUAAGUAACURUGCRCGUCUUGACGGUACCUAAUCAGAAAGCCACGGCUAACUACGUGCCAGCAGCCGCGGUAAUA